UAAAGUAGCCUAUGAGCAUUUGCCUCAAGUUCGAUUUGAAAAGCCUACGAUAAAACAGCGGAUGCCAGAAAUAAACUGGUGAUAAAACAUGCCAUGUAUUCACAUCACAAGUGCUAAGGAUUUCACCUUUGAUUAACAGGAGCAAGGUAGAAGUGGAUGGAGAAGUGUUGGAUAUAUGUGGACUAUGGCACUUGAAUUGUAUGAGAGCAAUGAUAAUGAUAAAGACUGAAGACUAGACUGGCUUCUGUUAAUUACAUUGGAAGGCCCUGCAGAAAGAAAAUUAUAGGCUACGGGAAGCCAACUGGAAAUUGAAGAGUAUACCGUUAUAAGGCUUGGCUGAAGACAAUAUGAUGCAGGAAGAGAAAAUGAGU
rnacentral:lncRNA from 10 species